UUAGCAAGGCCCCUGCCCUGGGGCCAUCCACAGCCAGCGGGGGCAAGGACACAGCGUGCUCCCACCAGGAUGAGGCUAAGAACUUGUCCCUCCUCCUUCCAGGGACAGCGGUGCCAGUACAGAUGGCACCUUCCAGGAAUCAGAACCGCUGCUUUGGGAGCAGCUCCUAAGGACUGAGUUACCUCACUGUCCUUUCCAGCGGAGCUUGAGGAAGACAGAGACUGGGGCCGACCUUCCAACUUGAAAUUCAGAAUCAUUUUAGAAAAUAGUUGAAGUAAAGUGUUUUCCUAUUUAUGCACCUCAGCAGCUACACUGCCCUUCGCACCCAAGCACGAUUCAUAGCUCCCCAAGGAAGGUCAUGGCUGGUCAUGACUUAAGUCCUGGAGAAGAGACUGGAGGGUCCAAGGGGUCAGAAUCACUAUCGUGGCCCACUGCCCAGGGAAGGGAAGGCAAACCAAAGGAGGAGAGAAGGAAGGGACGAUCAGGAGAAGGGCACCCAGGCGGGCAUCUGAACCUGCUAGGUGCCUCGACACGCUUUCACUCCUUGUUAAUUCAUACUGCCACCCUGAGGGGACACAGGUGCCCAGUGCUGGGUGGCCCACAUCCCGCAGCAGAGCCUGCCCGUGAGGAGCAGGGAAGGCAGAAGACAACAGGAAGGACAAGAGGGAGACAGAGCCCAGUGGACACGCUUGAGGAGACAGUUCACAGGUAGCCGUGAGUCGAGGAGAACCACCAAAUCCAUGGCCCUCUCUCCAAAGGGGUCAAAGCUGCUGGGACUUGCCUGUGGACUGUGUGGCAUGGUGCCCUGUGUGGCAGAUGGGGCCAUGAGCCUGGCCACUCUCCUGAGGUUCGUGGCCUUGCUGAUGUUGCGUGUUUUGAGACACUGUUUUUCUGAUCACUGUCACAGAAGAGGCUCUCUGUGCCAUCGAGGAUCGAAUGCAUGAAAGUUUCCAGAAAACGAUGCUUUUGUGGGUCACAGUGUGGCAGGACUGGACUUGCUGUGGGGACAGCCAGGUGCAUGUUCCUGACCAGUCUCUCCGAGGCUGUGUCUUUCUCCCAUCUGCGAGUGUCAUUUUUCUUUGUUGCUCCUGGAUCUGCAGGCCUUCCCCACACCCAGAAGCACACACCUCUCCUCGCCUCACGCGUCUUCCCAUCUCUGGAUGGUUCAGGACAUGAGCUGCUCGAGGGCAGCUGGGGACCCUCCUGUGCCUUCAUUUUUUCCCUACACGUCUCAACUCUGGUAACCAGAUUUGCAUCUUUUUUACAACUAAGCAUCUGAAAGCCUAGAAGAACUUGUGGAUUUGUGACGCAAACUCCUGUGGCAUCUCUGGCUGUCCUGCUAGCUGGUUUCAGGAGAGAUGCUGAAAAUGAAGAGACCCUCCCCUUAUGUUAAAAAAAAAUAGAUGAACACAGUCUUACGUUGUUCAUUCGGACAUCUUGAUUCUCUGAAAAUAAAUGCACAGCUAUCUUGACGGCCCUCCCA